rnacentral:rRNA from 1 species
GACGAACCGUGCGAACGUUGUUCGGAAUCACUGGGCUUAAAGGGCGCGUAGGCGGGCCGCCGCGUCCGGGGUGAAAUGCCGCGGCUCAACCGUGGAACUGCCUUAGAUACUGUCGGCCUCGAGGAAGGUAGGGGCAUGCGGAACUGUAGGUGGAGCGGUGAAAUGCGUUGAUAUCUACAGGAACUCCGGUGGCGAAAGCGGCGUGCUGGACCUUUUCUGACGCUGAGGCGCGAAAGCUAGGGGAGCAAACGGGG